UCUAGCAGUUGCCCGGCAGGGAGGGAACAUAAUGUUUCUGCAGUAGAUUUCUCGAUAGAUAAGCUCAACUCAUGAGCAAUAACAGCUGAAAGUGCUCUUCUUUAGCAACUGCAUCAGUUUUCCUGGAAGAAAAAUUUAGAGUUGGAUGCUUCCUUUAGCACAUGCACAGACAGAAGUUGAAUUGCAAAGCUUUCAAGCACCAUCCCCUGCGAAGAUGAAUCGGUGAUGUUCUUUUUCUUCAUACUCUCCAUAUUUCUCUCUUUGGGUACUGACUCUUCUAUAUCUGUGUAUAAAUGAUAGAAGAUACACUUAAAGUUGAACCACAACCACAAAAGGAUUAAUAAUCACACUCACUCCAUAUAUACAAAGACUAAUGCUCCGUUUGGUUGGAAUGAUAGAAUGAAAGUGUGGAUAUCAUUUAUAAUAAAGUUUGUGCAGAAAUUGACUGGAAAGGAGAAUAAAGCAGAUAUAAAUUAUCAAAAUGGUGGGUUUGACCUCUAGUUUAAAUUGGUAGGAAAGAAAAAAAGGGGGAAGAAAUGAAGAUUUUGAAUAUUUAUCCACAACAUAGUAUAAAUUUCAUUCCAUUACUACCCAAGUUCAUUCCUUCCAACCAAAUGGAGCACAAGAGAACACAAAAGAAAUAUCAGAACAGUAUCAACCUUCACAUUUGUUUUGAGAUAAAUGAGUUUGGACAUUCUUAUGAUAGCUGGAGACAGUAUCAUCCUCCUUCCUAAAAUAGAAAAAGACUUGUAUAUAUCAAGCUUACGGGUCAAAAUGAUGAUUUAAAAUUGUAAAAGAGUCCAAAUGUCAAUGAAGCUUACAUUUGCCCCUCAAGAUCACUCUCAGUACUGUCCGGUGCCUCCAAGAUCUUAAUUGAUGAUACAUAUUCUGCUUGUUCUGGAAAACAUGUUUCUCUCAGACACUCCAUUUCUUGACUUUUAUCUUUUCCAACAUUAAAAUGACUGCAACUAUCUCCAGCAUCCAAGUCAUCCCCAGCAUU